GGGGGCCCGCACAAGCGGUGGAGCAUGUGGUUUAAUUCGAUGAUACGCGAGGAACCUUACCUGGGCUCAAAUGUAUGUUGACGUAUUCUGAAAGGGAUACUUCUUCGGACAAUAUACAAGGUGCUGCAUGGUUGUCGUCAGCUCGUGCCGUGAGGUGUCGGGUUAAGUCCCAUAACGAGCGCAACCCCUAUCAUUAGUUGCCAUCAGGUCAAGCUGGGGACUCUAAUGAAACUGCCUACGCAAGUAGUGAGGAAGGUGGGGAUGACGUCAAAUCAGCACGGCCCUUACGUCCAGGGCUACACACGUGCUACAAUGGCCGGUACAAAGGGCAGCUACCUGGUGACAGGAUGCUAAUCUCAAAAGCCGGUCUCAGUUCGGAUCGGAGUCUGCAACCCGACUCCGUGAGGCUGGAAUCGCUAGUAAUCGCGCAUCAGCCAUGGCGCGGUGAAUACGUUCCCGGGCCUU
rnacentral:rRNA from 1 species